GUCCGCCCACCUUGUCCCUGCCCUCCUCCCGGGGAGGAGUCGCCGCUCCAGCGGGAGGCAGGAUGGUUGCUACCUGGGGCGGCCGCCAGCUCCUCCCGCAGUGCUCCGGGCCGCCCCUCACCCCAGGGUCGCCCGCUCCUAGUGUGGCCCAGGCUUCCCGGCCUGCCCCUCCCAGCCCUAGGAAGACGUCCCCCGGGCCCCCUCAGCCCUCCGCCUCCCCUUCUCUCCCUUUCUCCCCGCUCCUGGCAGGCUGCAGCCGUCUCCUCCCGGUGCUCGCUCCUUCCUUGAGCUCUGUCCACCGCUGCCCACUGGGGGCUAGAGCUUCCCGGCUACCCUGGAAGCUGGAGGCUGGGACCAGCUCUUCAGGUGACAGGCCUCUGUGUCUCCACAGUGGCCAGAGGGGAGCCUGCCUGACUGAUGAGCAAGGCUCCACUUUGUCACCAAGGCAGAGAAGGGGCCCGGGUAAAUGACCCCGGUGGCCCCCACCCCUGCCUGGCAUGAGAGUGGGUAGGGGCUUCGGACUUGAGGGGACUGGAGCGGGAAUAAGGGUCUUCUCUGGCCCAGCCUUUGACUGAAGCUGGUCUGGAGACAGGGGCGUUAGAGAAGUGACUCAUAGAUGGCCUAAAUAAGCGGGGCCACUCAAGGACCCAGGACAGGGGGAAGAGGGCCAACCCAUCUGGACCGCAGGCAAACCCCAUGGCCUUUGAGAGAAGAGAGAAGAGGACCCGGUGAAGUAGGCUCCGAGGGCCUCAGCCCAGCAGGAGCGCAGGGUGGGCGCGUGAUGUCAUCGAAGGGAAGACAGUGACCUGGGGGAGGGCCGCUUUGAGGGAGAGUGCAGGCCACCGCCAGAGAGCUCUGGGAGCCGAGGGCAGGGAAGACUUUCAGAUGUUGCUUGUCCAAGGGGUGGGGGUGGAAGGGAGAGAGAGCAGAGGCUCGAGAGGGAUGUAGGAGAGCUGAUGGCACUUUGGGGACAGCCUCAGGGCUGCAAUUGAGGAGGGCUCCCUCCCUCAUGCAGGCUUUUCCUCCAGGAGCUGCACCAGGAACUCACAGAGGAUCAGGGAGAAUUCUGAGAACAUGCUACUGUGGUGCUGCCUAGAGAGGAAGGAUAAAUGAUGACAAGUACAUCUCUGAGUAACGUAUGGCCACUUGUUCAUGAAAACUGUUUUUCUGAAAGCUUGUGAAGGUCUUGAAAUACUCGCUAUCAGUUGAGGACAAACAUUUACACCCUCCUUCCACAGGGAGUUCAAGCAGGCUGGAUGGGUCCAUCUAUGGAUGAUCUUCCCCAGCCCCUUCCUCUUCCCAGCUCAUUCCUGGCUCUCUGUGUGAACAGGUCUCAUCAGUGGAAUGUGGUUGAUGAAGUGAGGUCUUCAAUUUUCUCAUCUACUGUGUGGUCAUGUUAUUUUCCUCAUCUGAGGCUUAAAAACUCACCUGCAUGCAGCACAUGACAGCUUAAAAUCUCUUGUGAACAAAACAGUAACAAAGACACCCACCAGCGUUGAGCAUCCCGUGUUGAUGACAGCGACCACCAUGGGUCAACGUCCUCUUCACAAUCCUGUGUCAGAGCAUCACUUGACUGAUUUCAUUAGCAACUUCCCAGGAGAAUCAGCUUACAAAAUACUUGUCCCAUUUUCCAUGCAGAUGUAACCCAUCUAUUUUACUGAAGAAAUGGGAAGAGCUGAAUGCUGAAUACACUGAAUGUCUGCAGGUUGUGCAAGUUUGUGACUUUAUCACUUUCUAAUUUCUGAUCUGUGUGGACCACUCUACAGAUUUUUCUCACUGGUGUGAUCAGCCUUCUGGAUGUCAAAUAUAAUAGACUUUCAACAAUAUAAAAGUCAACAC
ensembl:lncRNA novel transcript